rnacentral:rRNA from 1 species
CCUACGGGGGGCAGCAGUGGGGAAUAUUGGGCAAUGGGCGCAAGCCUGACCCAGCAACGCCGCGUGAAGGAAGAAGGCUUUCGGGUUGUAAACUUCUUUUAAGAGGGAAGAGCAGAAGACGGUACCUCUUGAAUAAGCCACGGCUAACUACGUGCCAGCAGCCGCGGUAAUACGUAGGUGGCAAGCGUUGUCCGGAUUUACUGGGUGUAAAGGGCGUGCAGCCGGGAGUGCAAGUCAGAUGUGAAAUCCCGCGGCUCAACCGCGGAACUGCAUUUGAAACUGUGCUUCUUGAGUGCUGGAGAGGC